AAGUCCGCUGCUGACAACCUGCAGGCAGUCUAAUAAAUUCAUUCCCGGUCUGUGACCACGGAUGUACUGGCACGGACCAACGGGAUGAGAUGAGAGGUCGGGAAAUUUCCCGGCCUUUUUUUUG
rnacentral:sRNA from 1 species